rnacentral:rRNA from 1 species
UACAGAGGUGCCCAAGCGUUGUUCGGAUUCACUGGGCGUAAAGGGGUGCGUAGGCGGCGCGGUAAGUCGGGUGUGAAAUCUCGGGAGCCUUAACUCCGUAAACUGCAUUCGAUACUGCCGUGCUUGAGGACUGGAGAGGAGACUGGAAUUUACGGUGUAGCGGUGAAAUGCGUAGAUAAUCGUAAGGAAGACCAGUGGCGAAGGCGGGUCUCUGGACAGUUCCUGACGCUGAGGCACGGAAGGUCAGGGGAGCAAACGGG